CAGGCUUAACACAUGCAAGUCGAGGGGCAGCAUGGUCUUAGCUUGCUAAGGCCGAUGGCGACCGGCGCACGGGUGAGUAACACGUAUCCAACCUGCCGUCUACUCUUGGACAGCCUUCUGAAAGGAAGAUUAAUACAAGAUGGCAUCAUGAGUCCGCAUGUUCACAUGAUUAAAGGUAUUCCGGUAGACGAUGGGGAUGCGUUCCAUUAGAUAGUAGGCGGGGUAACGGCCCACCUAGUCUUCGAUGGAUAGGGGUUCUGAGAGGAAGGUCCCCCACAUUGGAACUGAGACACGGUCCAAACUCCUACGGGAGGCAGCAGUGAGGAAUAUUGGUCAAUGGGCGAGAGCCUGAACCAGCCAAGUAGCGUGAAGGAUGACUGCCCUAUGGGUUGUAAACUUCUUUUAUAAAGGAAUAAAGUCGGGUAUGGAUACCCGUUUGCAUGUACUUUAUGAAUAAGGAUCGGCUAACUCCGUGCCAGCAGCCGCGGUAAUACGGAGGAUCCGAGCGUUAUCCGGAUUUAUUGGGUUUAAAGGGAGCGUAGAUGGAUGUUUAAGUCAGUUGUGAAAGUUUGCGGCUCAACCGUAAAAUUGCAGUUGAUACUGGAUAUCUUGAGUGCAGUUGAGGCAGGCGGAAUUCGUGGUGUAGCGGUGAAAUGCUUAGAUAUCACGAAGAACUCCGAUUGCGAAGGCAGCCUGCUAAGCUGCAACUGACAUUGAGGCUCGAAAGUGUGGGUAUCAAACAGGAUUAGAUACCCUGGUAGUCCACACGGUAAACGAUGAAUACUCGCUGUUUGCGAUAUACUGCAAGCGGCCAAGCGAAAGCGUUAAGUAUUCCACCUGGGGAGUACGCCGGCAGCGGUGAAACUCAAAGGAAUUGACGGGGGCCCGCACAAGCGGAAGAACAUGUGGUUUAAUUCGAUGAUACGCGAGGAACCUUACCCGGGCUUAAAUUGCAGAUGAAUUACGGUGAAAGCCGUAAGCCGCAAGGCAUCUGUGAAGGUGCUGCAUGGUUGUCGUCAGCUCGUGCCGUGAGGUGUCGGCUUAAGUGCCAUAACGAGCGCAACCCUUGUUGUCAGUUACUAACAGGUUCCGCUGAGGACUCUGACAAGACUGCCAUCGUAAGAUGUGAGGAAGGUGGGGAUGACGUCAAAUCAGCACGGCCCUUACGUCCGGGGCUACACACGUGUUACAAUGGGGGGUACAGAGGGCCGCUACCACGCGAGUGGAUGCCAAUCCCCAAAACCUCUCUCAGUUCGGACUGGAGUCUGCAACCCGACUCCACGAAGCUGGAUUCGCUAGUAAUCGCGCAUCAGCCACGGCGCGGUGAAUACGUUCCCGGGCCUUGUACACACCGCCCGUCAAGCCAUGGGAGCCGGGGGUACCUGAAGUGCGUAACCGCGAGGAGCGCCCUAGGGUAAAACUGGUGACUGGGGCUA
rnacentral:rRNA from 1 species